UGCUUUUGGUGUUCACUUACAUAUCAGGGUC
rnacentral:piRNA from 1 species